UAAUAUAUAUAUCAAAACGUGAUGAAAACCACUAUAAGCACCACCGUUUGAUUGGAUUAUCGUUUUUCUGGUAACCCGUCUUAUGGUUGAGACAAGGUCUCAGUCAUUUUUUGUUCGAUUUAUUUCUAGCUUUUAGAUUGUUUCGGAUCGAAAACUCGUAGUAAUAGCUGCGCAUGGUCAAUUAAAUCAAAACAUCCGGUUUGUUUAGUCCACAUUGAACUUCACAUUUUAUAGGCAUGUAUGGUUGUCUAAUUAACUGUUUAGGUUCAGAUAAUUAUUACAAAGUCCCCGACGGGAUAUCUUGUCCAAUUUAAAAAUCUACCGGAAUGUUUUUUCAUUGAAAAUAGUGUUGAAUUUAAAGCACCACCAAAAAAUGAUGUAAGCACCGGAGGAGGAACUCAGGAAGCUUCUGUCUGUCUUAAGGUCUUACAUCCAGAGCUUGCGGACCAAACUUGUGUUGUCCAUUCCAGAGGCCAAUUCUGAUUAUCCAAAUUGACAUCAAAAGUGUUCAGAUAUCAGAUGUAUUACAGCUAAAGAAUGAAUUUAUUUUUGGUCAUUUCUCAGCUUUUGCCUACAGUCAACUUUUUAUGUGAAUCAAAGAAUGAAGAGAAAUCAACUUAUUUAUACCCAAGCUGACCAACUGUCAAGAAAGAGAAGACAAGGCAACUCCAUCUGAAGGAAAUUAAAAGAAAAGAUUUUAUUGUUAAAAAACAAUAGAUGUGAAAAUGUUAUUUUUUCAAUCUAAAACACACAUAACAAAAACUACACUUAAAAAAUAUGGUUCAAGAAAGUUUCAUAAAAUAUCAGUCUUACUAUUAUUAUAUACUUGAAGAUGUAUUGUAAAAGUAAAUUUGUUAGAUUAAAGUUUUUCAAGGCUUGAAUUAUCUCCCCUUAUUAACCUAACUUUAUGCAAGACUAUUUGUUUUCCAACUCAUAGAAUUCUAAAUUUUUAAAGUUGAAAACAUGUGUCAAUAUUUGUUUCUUCUUUGUUUACAGCUUUAUGAUUGGAGUUCAACCUUUUAUCUCAAGACAUAAAGGAAAUCUACUGUGCACAGAUUUAAGAGUCUUCCUCUCUCUUUUUUAAUGAAUUUUAAAGAUUUUUUAAGACAGACAAUUUAACACUGUAUUAGAGAAAUUUAUGUUGCAGAAAUUCAAGAUACUUUGUAAAAACACACAAUAUGACUUUUUUACUUAAAUUAGUUCUUAUUUCAAAAUCAAAUGACUAAGGGAGAUAACUCUACUUCUAAAUUAUUUAUCUGAAAUUGUAAAUUAAAGUGGCUCAUUUUAGUAUUAUCACUGACAGAUAGAUUUGUCCCUUAAUAAAGAUUAAUGUUCCUAACAAUUGAUGAUAACUUAUAUCUGCUGAUGCAAAUUGUCCCUUACUUUUAAAAGUACAAAAUGUAUUACUUUUAAAUUAAAUAUAUGUUAUUUUCAGGAGUUGUGUCCCUUUAAUAUUUUUUUAUUUAUCAGAAUAUGUUUGGUGUAUAUGUAAUCAAGGUGUAAUUUUAUGCUGAUUACAUUAUCUUUAUUUAUAUUCAAGGUUGUCAAACAAUCCUGUAGUUGUAGUUUUUUGAAUUAAGAGAUGAUCUGUAUCAAUAUGUAUUAAAAUUAAUUGUUUCUUUUGCACGCCCCUCAAUUACAUAGUAAUGGCUUAUUUUUUUAUAUCAACCUUAAUGGUGAAAGAAUUCAGAAUUGACGAAUUCUGAAAUUCUGCAUUUUAGAUCUGUGGUAAUAAAUGAUUUAUUUGAAUUUGAAACAUCAUUUAAGUUGACAUGUUAGUUUUUCAAACAUUUACAAAUGAACACAAUUGUUUUUUUAUUUGAAAAGAUAAUAAUAUGAAAAACUUAUUACAGUUAAAAUUAAUGUACCUCCUACCUACUGAUACUUCUAAGAAUUUUGUAUGCAUAGAUAUUAGAUUUAUAGAAAGUCAAACUUGAAAAGAAACUUGGAUUGCUGUGCAUAGUUUAUGUUUAAUUUGAAAUUGUAACAAAUUGUAAACUUUUAUUUGAUUGUACAUUGUGCUGAAUGUUAAAUGAAGUUAAUCUGUAUAGAUGAAACUUCUGUUUUGAAUAUUCAUUGAUUAAUAAACUAAAUAAGAUUAUAAUGCAA